AGUGACGUGACCAUCGUUCCGGGCAGCUGUUCCGUGUUGAAGUCUCGUUCAAUAAAAAACAACUCUCGUUGUCGAGCAUUCAAACAAACGUGUCUUCCCCCCCCCCCCCCCCCCCCCUCCCCGGUCAACAACAGUCUACCUCCCCCCCCCCCCCCUCAACAAUGGGACUCUCUAAGUCGACGCCACUUCGACCUGGGCGGAACUUUACGUCCUACGUCACUCGCUAUGGGUUUGCAUGUGUGCGCGUAGCCGUUUGUCUCAGGGAUCUGUGCACGAACUCCCUUGCACUACAGAUUACGAGCGUCAGUGUCGUACGCGAUGGAGGGUGGGUGACAUUCCUACAGUCUGUAAUGAUAGGCUAUAUUUCUACAAAUGACUUAAUAUUACUAGCGAUUAACAUGACGAAACAACACGAACCAAGCUAACAUUAGACUAUAGGCAGGCAACAGGCAACUGUGUGUUGGUGCGUUGUGGUAACUCGGUUCGGUAGAGGGGCUCAAAGUAAGGACCAGGCAGGGUGUGAGGGUCCAAAGCCUCAAACGGCGGUUUAUUACACUCGGUUUCCAAUAGCCACACAAGCGCACGCUGUACAUCAAAGACGGGGGGUUGCUCGAGUCGUGGUCCACGUGUCCGCCGUGCGGCUCACUCUACGGUGUCUCGAUCCUCUGCGUCGUCCUCUCUUCCACUCGACUCUCUCCCUGCUGUCGGCCGGUGGCCUCCUUUUAACACCUGGGUGUCUCCUGCCCAGGUGUUCCUCGUUUCCCCGAUUGCGGCUCUCGGGAUUUGUCGCCGGCUGUUGGCCACCGGCGGUAUAUCCCGGCCUCGACUCUCCCGAACAGGGGGCGUGGCACCGGGGGAAUGCCACAGCGUCUUAUUGCUUCCCACGUCUGCGUCUGCAUCUUUUCCACUCCUGGCUAAUAGGCCUAGUGUCAGCUUUUGUACUGUAUAUCAGAAAUGAUCACCCUGUACCACACUGCUGACUUGUUGAUGUUUUGUGAGCACUCACGCAUUUCUCUAGGUAUCUUAAGUUUCCUACUGGAGUCAUCAAAACUUUGGACUACUUUGUUAUUAUAAGAAAUAUUGUGUUGCAAAAACACUUUGUGUCUUACCCGUUACCCUAACCUUAACCCCAGUAACAUUUCUUCAUCAUAAACUACAAGUUACGCAAAAUGGCAUACAAACAUCCAGUCCAAUAUGAAAGAAAAAAGCUAGCUUCAUUAAGGAAUCGAACCCCUUAUCCCCGCAUUAAUGAGUUGUUCUCUGACCACUAACCCAUCAGGUCUUAGUACAUGCGAUUCAAGAGUUAACCACUUGACAAUCUUUAAACUUCGGUUGCCUAGAAAUUGUAAAGACUGUGAUGUGUGUACAUUGUGCGAGUAUCCGUCACUCGCGAUGUGUGUGCAGUCCAAAAUGAAAGAAAAGACCUUGCAUCACUAGGGAAUCGAACCCCCAAUCAUCAGUUGGUCGUUGGUAACUGUAAACAAAGAGAUCGCAUUUUGUUUAACU
rnacentral:lncRNA from 1 species